rnacentral:misc_RNA from 1 species
CCGAGAGAGGGUGCUCUGCGCGCCCGACCUCCCAACCCUUUGAUGACAUACCGCGUUGCCUCGGGGCUGCCUUUCGUUAGGCGCCCCAGAGGACCUCAACCAAACUCUGCGUCCUUGCGUCGGAGUAUUUAUUUAAAUCAAUCA